CGGCGAGUGAAGUGGGAAAAGCUCNNCUUUGAAAUCUGGCAGCUUCNCUGUCCGAGUUGUNUCUCNAGAAGUGUUUUCCGUGUUGAAGCAUGUAUGAGUCUGUUGGAACACAGCGUCAUAGAGGGUGACAACCCCGUUCAUGCCAUGCCUUUCAAUACUCUGUGAUACACUUUCGAUGAGUCGAGUUGUUUGGGAAUGCAGCUCAAAGUGGGUGGUAAAUUCCAUCUAAAGCUAAAUAUUGGCGGGAGACCGAUAGCAAACAAGUACCGUGAGGGAAAGAUGAAAAGCACUUUGGAAAGAGAGUUAAAAGUACGUGAAAUUGUCGAAAGGGAAACGCUUGAAGUCGGACGUGCAGGCAACUGCAGGCCAACAUCGGUUUCAGUAGUCGGAUAAAGGCAGAGAAAGGUAGCAGCUCAGGCUGUGUUAUAGUCUCUAGCUCAAUACGAAUAUGGAGACCGAGGACCGCAGCGAAAGCUUAGGAUGUUGGUGGAACGGCUUUAAACGACCCGUCUUGAAACACGGACCAAGGAGUCUAACAUGCUUGCGAGUGUUUGGGUGUCAAACCCAUGCGCGUAAUGAAAGUGAAUGGAGGUGGGAUCCGCAAGGAGCACCAUCGACCGGUCCGGAUGUUUACUGAAGGAUCUGAGUAAGAGCACGUAUGUUGGGACCCGAAAGAUGGUGAACUAUGCCUGAAUAGGGUGAAGCCAGAGGAAACUCUGGUGGAGGCUCGUAGCGGUUCUGACGUGCAAUCGAUCGUCAAUUUGGGUAUAGGGGCGAAGACUAAUCGAACNAUCUAGUAGCUGGUUCCUGCCGAGUUUCCUCAGGAUAGCAGAANCUCGUCUCAGUUUUAUGAGGUAAGCGAUGAUAGAGGCNUUGGGCUGUAACAGCCUUACCUAUCUCAACUUUAAUGUGUAAGAAUCUUGUUCUUAUU
rnacentral:rRNA from 1 species